rnacentral:misc_RNA from 1 species
CAGGGACAAAGACUCAGAACAGAGUAUUGUGUUUUCUUAUCCUCAAAUAUUAAUAGUUGAAUUUUACCAAGAUUUCCCUGUUCUCUCAGAGAGGAGAAGCUGAAUUUUUCUGAGACAGUGCAGUGGCAGAGAACGUAGCAUAGAAGCAGAGGAGACAAGAGACAGGAGGCAGAGGUGGACGUAAAUUCAGAGUUACUGCAACGAAUCCCUGCUUCUGUCAAAGUGGUCG